rnacentral:rRNA from 1 species
GAUGAACGCUGGCGGCGUGCCUAAUACAUGCAAGUCGAGCGAACAGACGAGGAGCUUGCUCCUCUGACGUUAGCGGCGGACGGGUGAGUAACACGUGGAUAACCUACCUAUAAGACUGGGAUAACUUCGGGAAACCGGAGCUAAUACCGGAUAACAUGUUGAACCGCAUGGUUCAACAGUGAAAGACGGUCUUGCUGUCACUUAUAGAUGGAUCCGCGCCGCAUUAGCUAGUUGGUAAGGUAACGGCUUACCAAGGCAACGAUGCGUAGCCGACCUGAGAGGGUGAUCGGCCACACUGGAACUGAGACACGGUCCAGACUCCUACGGGAGGCAGCAGUAGGGAAUCUUCCGCAAUGGGCGAAAGCCUGACGGAGCAACGCCGCGUGAGUGAAGAAGGUCUUCGGAUCGUAAAACUCUGUUAUUAGGGAAGAACAAAUGUGUAAGUAACUAUGCACGUCUUGACGGUACCUAGUCAGAAAGCCACGGCUAACUACGUG